GACGAACGCUGGCGGCGUGCUUAACACAUGCAAGUCGAACGGAAAGGCCCUGCUUUUGUGGGGUGCUCGAGUGGCGAACGGGUGAGUAACACGUGAGUAACCUGCCCUUGACUUUGGGAUAACUUCAGGAAACUGGGGCUAAUACCGGAUAGGAGCUCCUGCUGCAUGGUGGGGGUUGGAAAGUUUCGGCGGUUGGGGAUGGACUCGCGGCUUAUCAGCUUGUUGGUGGGGUAGUGGCUUACCAAGGCUUUGACGGGUAGCCGGCCUGAGAGGGUGACCGGCCACAUUGGGACUGAGAUACCGCCCAGACUCCUACGGGAGGCAGCAGUGGGGAAUAUUGCACAAUGGGCGGAAGCCUGAUGCAGCAACGCCGCGUGCGGGAUGACGGCCUUCGGGUUGUAACCCGCUUUCGCCUGUGACGAAGCGUGAGUGACGGUAAUGGGUAAAGAAGCACCGGCUAACUACGUG
rnacentral:rRNA from 1 species